AUUGAACGCUGGCGGCAUGCUUUACACAUGCAAGUCGAACGGUAACAGGCCGCAAGGUGCUGACGAGUGGCGAACGGGUGAGUAAUGCAUCGGAACGUGCCCAGUCGUGGGGGAUAACUGCUCGAAAGAGCAGCUAAUACCGCAUACGAUCUAUGGAUGAAAGCGGGGGACCGUAAGGCCUCGCGCGAUGGGAGCGGCCGAUGUCAGAUUAGGUAGUUGGUGGGAUAAAGGCUCACCAAGCCAACGAUCUGUAGCUGGUCUGAGAGGACGACCAGCCACACUGGGACUGAGACACGGCCCAGACUCCUACGGGAGGCAGCAGUGGGGAAUUUUGGACAAUGGGGGCAACCCUGAUCCAGCAAUGCCGCGUGCAGGAAGAAGGCCUUCGGGUUGCAAACUGCUUUUGUACGGAACGAAACGGUCUGGGUUAAUACCCUGGGCUAAUGACGGUACCGUAAGAAUAAGCACCGGCUAACUACGUGCCAGCAGCCGCCGUAACAC
rnacentral:rRNA from 1 species